rnacentral:rRNA from 1 species
GAUGAACGCUGACAGAAUGCUUAACACAUGCAAGUCGAUGGGGAAGUGGUGCUUGCACCAUGGCAACCAUGGCGGACGGGUGAGUAACGCGUAAGGGACUUACCUGCAGGACUGGGAUAACAGGGGGAAACUCCUGACGAGACCGGAUAAUGUCAUGGAGCUGCAUGGCUUUAUGAUGAAAGGAGACGCCUGCGGAGAGCCUUGCGUCCUAUUAGCUAGUUGGUGAGGUAAUGGCUCACCAAGGCGAAGAUAGGUAGCCGGCCUGAGAGGGUGGACGGCCACAAGGGGACUGAGAUACGGCCCUUACUCCUACGGGAGGCAGCAGUGGGGAAUAUUGGACAAUGGGGGCAACCCUGAUCCAGCAAUUCUGUGUGCACGAAGAAGGUUUUCGGAUUGUAAAGUGCUUUCAGCAGGGAAGAAGUAAGUGACGGUACCUGCAGAAGAAGCGACGGCUAAAUACGUG